rnacentral:RNase_P_RNA from 3 species
GAGAAAAUCGGAGUGAUCGCCCCGCCUUCGCUAAGGCUACAGCAGGGAGGAAAGUCCGAGCAGCAAGUACACAGGAAAGUCGCUAACAGCGACCAGCCCGCCUCAGGCGGGUUAGGGAAAGUGCCACAGAGACGAGCAAUGUGAAACGCCUGAAAGUGGCAGCAAUGUCACUUCAGGGCACCUGGGGUGACCCAGGAAUGCUGGCAAACCCUUUUCGUUGCAAGGUGGGAUUGGCCGCUGGAAUUAAUGGAGUGUACACCAUCUAGCGAGCCCACCGCAUGAGGUUCUUGGCAACAAGAAUCCUAGAGAGAUGAUCACGCCCCGCCUCGGCGGGGAACAGAACUCGGCUUAUGAAGAUUUUCUCUAAA